UACGUAGGGGGCAAGCGUUGUCCGGAAUCAUUGGGCGUAAAGCGCGUGUAGGCGGCCCGAUAAGUCCGCUGUGAAAGUCCAGGGCUCAACCCUGGGAUGCCGGUGGAUACUGUCGGGCUCGAGUCCGGAAGAGGAGUGUGGAAUUCCUGGUGUAGCGGUGAAAUGCGCAGAUAUCAGGAGGAACACCAAUGGCGAAGGCAGCACUCUGGGCCUUUCCUGACGCUGAGACGCGAAAGCGUGGGGAGCGAACCGG
rnacentral:rRNA from 1 species